CUGCGCGAAAGCACGACUCUCGGCAACGGAUAUCUCGGCCCUCGCCACGAUGAAGAACGUAGCGAAAUGCGAUACCUAGUGUGAAUUGCAGAAUCCCGUGAAUCAUCGAGUCUUUGAACGCAAGUUGCGCCCGAGGCUUCGGCCNAGGGCACGUCUGCCUGGGUGUCGUA
rnacentral:rRNA from 1 species